rnacentral:rRNA from 1 species
ACGAACGCUGGCGGCAGGCUUAACACAUGCAAGUCGAACGCACCUUUCGGGGUGAGUGGCAGACGGGUGAGUAACGCGUGGGAAUCUACCCUUCUCUACGGGAUAGCUCCGGGAAACUGGAAUUAAUACCGUAUACGUCCUGAGGGAGAAAGAUUUAUCGGGGAAGGAUGAGCCCGCGUUGGAUUAGCUAGUUGGUGGGGUAAAGGCCUACCAAGGCGACGAUCCAUAGCUGGUCUAAGAGGAUGAUCAGCCACAUUGGGACUGAGACACGGCCCAAACUCCUACGGGAAGCAGCAGUGGGGAAUAUUGGACAAUGGGCGCAAGCCUGAUCCAGCCAUGCCGCGUGAGUGAUGAAGGCCCUAGGGUUGUAAAGCUCUUUCAGUGGGGACGAUAAUGACGGUACCCACAGAAGAAGCCCCGGCUAACUUCGUG